rnacentral:ribozyme from 1 species
UGAUAGCCAAAAGACCGUCUUAUUUCAAAGCCAGGAUCAUCAGGAAACAAAAGAAGAAUAACCAGGAUGUCUUUCUGGUGAGGCUUCGGGAUCACUGUGGCAAUUUACAAGGCUUG